rnacentral:lncRNA from 1 species
UUAUUAAUAGUGGAGGUAAUGUUUAUUCCAACGUCAACUCAAACUUUCCAUAAACUAAACCCAAAACACUAAUCACUAUACCUUAAAAUAAAUAUAAAUCCUAACCCAACUAUCAAAACAAACUCAUAUAUUAAAAUAUGCAAACAGAAUAGUAACAAACAAAUAGCAUAGUACAUAUUGUUCAAAUUUUGAAAUGUCUAUAAUUAUAGAGAAGGAGGUAAAGCUUACCCCAGCGAGGUAAUGCUUACCUCAAAAUAAACUAAGCCUAAAACACUAAUCACUAAACCCUAAAAGGAAAUAUAAACUAUAACCCUAAUAUCAAAUAUGCACAUAGUACGUAAUAUGAAACAUUAUCAAAAUAACAUAGUACAUAUUAAUGUUCAAAUUUUAAAAUGUCUAUGAUUGCAGGAAAGCAGGUAAUGUUUACCCCAAAGUCAACACAAACCUUCGAUAAACUAAACCCAAAACACUA